rnacentral:rRNA from 1 species
AAAAAUUUAUUGCUAUUAGAUGAGCCUAUAUUAGAUUAGCUAGUUGGUGGAGUAAUAGCCUACCAAGGCAAUGAUCUAUAGCUGAUCUGAGAGGAUGAUCAGCCACACUGGAACUGAGAUACGGUCCAGACUCCUACGGGAGGCAGCAGUGGGGAAUAUUGGACAAUGGGCGAAAGCCUGAUCCAGCCAUGCCGCAUGAGUGAAGAAGGCCUUUGGGUUGUAAAGCUCUUUUAGUGAGGAAGAUAAUGACGGUACUCACAGAAGAAGUCCUGGCUAACUCCGUGCCAGCAGCCGCGGUAAUACGGAGAGGGCUAGCGUUAUUCGGAAUUAUUGGGCGUAAAGGGCGCGUAGGCGGAUUAGUAAGUUAAAAGUGAAAUCCCAAGGCUCAACCUUGGAAUUGCUUUUAAAACUGCUAAUCUAGAGAUUGAAAGAGGAUAGAGGAAUUCCUAGUGUAGAGGUGAAAUUCGUAAAUAUUAGGAGGAACACCAGUGGCGAAGGCGUCUAUCUGGUUCAAAUCUGACGCUGAGGCGCGAAGGCGUGGGGAGCAAACAGGAUUAGAUACCCUGGUA